rnacentral:lncRNA from 1 species
UAUAUAUUUAUAUAUAUAUAUAUAUAUAUAUAUAUAUAUAUAUAUAUAUAUAUAUAUAUGAGCGCGUCUGGGGUGCUUUUGGAAGCACGGAGCACUCCGUGCUUCCAAAUUAUUUUCGAUGUUGGAACUUUCGAAUCGACGAUCGGCUCCGUUAGACUUGAUCUAGAGUAUUUAAAGUAUUUAAAAAAUAAAUUUCGCGAUUUUUCGAUAUCAUUUGCCUAGUGAUCGAAGAGGCUCAAAAUCAACGACUGAAAAUAAAAAUCUUACAAAAUAGGAUGAUAUGAAAUUAAAAUUUUAGAUCAAAAUUAUUGAUCUUGUUUUAUAUGGUAUAAAGAAUUUUCUAUGAAAAUUUCAUAUGAUUUGGAUAUUUCUACAUUGUUAAACUUGCAAACGGCUCACCACGGCCAUUAAAAUUAUUGAAUUUGAGUCCCUUCAAUCACUAGGCAAAUAAUUUUAAAAAAUCACAAAAUUUAUUUUCUAGGUACUUCAAAUACUCUAGAUCAACUCUAACGGAGCCGACCGUCGAUUCGAAAAUACGAAUAUCGAAAACAACUUGGAAGCACGGAGGACUCGUGCUUCCAGAAGCAUACCAGCCCACUCAUAUAUAUAUAUAUAUA